AAAUUUUUUGUGGGAUCCUCCAAAUCUACGGGAGAAGCGUCUGUUUUUGUCUGUUCCCUUUUCCUACUCAUUUCUGCUUGCUUCCAUUUGCGCUUCCACUCCCCGUCGUCGUCGCAGCCGCCGCACAUCCCCACCUAUUCUUGCUGCCCCUGGCUGCCCUACGUCGUCAGAAAGCUCCUCCGCCCCGCGUUGCAUCUGUUCCACCAAGUUUCAGCGUGGGGGUGCCCAUUUGUGUCCGGGGCCUCACGGCGGCCGCCGGCGCCAUGGAUCCACCCCGGAGCUUCGCACGCGGUCUUGUAGCGGGUGAAUCCGGUUGGUUCCGGCACCGGUGAGCUUAGGAAUCGGUGGGCCUCGCAGCGCGCACCAGAGGAAGGAGUCGGCGCGGCUUUGCUUCGGCCAACGGGGAGAAGAAAGGGUCGGCAUGACUUUGCUUCGGCCUGCAGGGGAGAAGAAAGGGGCGGCGGGGCUUUGCUUCGACGGCCAGCUUCGAGCGAGAUGGAUUGGAGUUCAUCCUCAUCGUCUUCGUCUGAUGACUUGGACAUAGAAGAGAUGUUCGUCAGCGACAAUGUCGACAACCUAGUGUUGGUGCAUCUCGUGAACGAAAUUGAGGCGGGCCUGAAGAAAAAGCGGCGCGGAUCCAUGGUCGGCCGGCUAUGCAUUCCCCGCAACCGAGCUCUCGACGACAAGAUGCUCAUGAAGGACUACUUCGCCGAGGUACCGACAUAUCCGGUCACCUCUUUUGUAGGCGAUAUCGAAUGCGUAGGUCCCUAUUCGUGCGCAUCAUUGAAGCUUGGGAGCAAAAUUGUCAUUUUUUCACUCGGCAUAGGAAUGUUGCCGGUUUUUUUGGCUUUAGUGCAUAUCAAAAAAUAUCGGCAACGACGAGAGUGAUUGCAUAUGGUGUUCCGGUCGAAUACGCGGAUGAAUAUCUCUGCAUUGGAGAAGAUACCACCAUCAAAUGCGCAAGAUAAUGAUUCAAGUUUUUGUCCCGGAGUACCUUCGUGCUCCAAACGAAUAAGACGCAAAGAGGCUCAUGGCAAUGAACGAAAAAAGGGAAUCACGGGGCAUGCUAGGUAGUAUUGACUACAUGCAUUAAAGGUGGAAGAACUGUCUAGUGGCUUGGGCAGGGCAAUACACCGGCCAUAACGAAAACCCACCACUGUGCUUGAAGCUGUGGCUUCACAUGAUUUAUGGAUUUGACAUUGUUUCUUUGGUUCGCUAGGGUCUCUCAAUGAUAUGAAUGUCCUGCAACGGUCUCAUCUAUUUGCUCAGCUAGCUAGGGACAAAGCUCCGACGUACAACUAUACCGUCAAUGGCCAUGAGUAUAACAUGGGGUACUAUCUGGUCGAUGGUAUUUAUCCUUCCUGAUCAACAUUUGUGAAGACCAUUAGUGAUCGCAUAAUCAAGAAACGCAAUUUCUUUGUCGAAGAACAAGAAGCUUGCCGAAAGGAUACCGAGAGGGCAUUUGGUGUCUUGCAAGCUUGGUUUGCCAUUGUUUGAGGUCCUGCUCGCUUUUGGGAUAAAAAAAUCCUUCGAAAAUAUCAUGACUGCUUGUGUAAUUUUACACAAUAUGAUCGUCGAGGAUGAGAGAGAUUUGGACUUGGACUACAAUUGUGACAAUGUUGGUAGCCGUGUGAAGCCUGCUAGGGACACAGAUGAGAUCACUGCAUUUCUUGAGACGCACUGGAAGAUCGAGAACUGUGAUUCACACAACCAACUCAAGCAUGAUCCUAUUGAGCAUCGUUGGCAACUCUACGGGGGUACAUUCUCCCUUCUUAUUCAUUUGUAUUUGUGUGUGAUUUUGAACAAUUUGGUGUUGUAAUAAUAAUUCGAAUUCAAACAUUUGCUGUAAUGAGACCAAUUGUUGCAUUGUGAAUUGCUUUUAAGACAAUCUAUAUCCAUUUGUUUAAUUUAUAUUAUGAUUCCAUUCAGUUUUCUCUA